AAGCGCUUGCGAUCAGAGUCGGCCCCGGUUGAUCAACCGUCGUACUCGGCGGGGCACUCUGCCGGGGCCGUGCCAGCAUCGGUUGGGGCGGCGGGACAAAGGCCGCGGGAAUGUGACUCCCCCCGGGGAGUGUUAUAGCCCGCGGCGCAAUGCCGUCAGCCCCGACCGAGGAACGCGCGUCCCGCGAGGAUGCUGGCGUAAUGGUUGUAAGCGA
rnacentral:rRNA from 1 species